GCUGCUAUACCGCAUGUGGUCCUGCCGAGCAUUCGGCGGGCACUAAAGGAUUUAUUCGCUACAGGAUGGGUCUGCGGCCUAUCAGCUAGUUGGUGCGGUAACGGCGCACCAAGGCGACGACGGGUAGCGGGUCUGAGAGGAUGAUCCGCCGGAUGGGGACUGAGACACGGCCCCAACUCCUUCGGGAGGCAGCAAUGAGGAAUCUUGCGCAAUGGGGGAAACCCUGACGCAGCGACGCCGCGUGGGUGAGGAAGUUCUUCGGAAUGUAAAGCCCUUUUGUCGAGGACGAAAUUGACGGUACUCGGCGAAUAAGCCCCGGCUAACUACGUGCCAGCAGCCGCGGUAAUACGUAGGGGGCAAGCGUUGUCCGGAUUUACUGGGCGUAAAGAGCGCGUAGGCGGAAGUUUAAGCGGUGCUUGAAAGCCCCCGGCUCAACCGGGGAGAGUGGUGCCGAACUGGACUUCUUGAGGGCGAUAGAGGAGAGUGGAAUUCCGGGUGUAGCGGUGAAAUGCGUAGAGAUCCGGAGGAACACCAGUGGCGCAGGCGGCUCUCUGGGUCGGCCCUGACGCUGAGGCGCGAAAGCGUGGGGAGCGAACGGGAUUAGAUACCCCGGUAGUCCACGCCGUAAACGAUGAUCACUAGGUGUGUGCGGUAUCGACCCCGCACGUGCCGUAGCUAACGCAUGAAGUGAUCCGCC
rnacentral:rRNA from 1 species